rnacentral:rRNA from 1 species
GAGUUUGAUCCUGGCUCAGAACGAACGCUGGCGGCAGGCUUAACACAUGCAAGUCGAACGCCCCGCAAGGGGAGUGGCAGACGGGUGAGUAACGCGUGGGAAUCUACCGUACCCUACGGAAUAACGCAUGGAAACGUGUGCUAAUACCGUAUACGCCCUACGGGGGAAAGAUUUAUCGGGGUAUGAUGAGCCCGCGUUGGAUUAGCUAGUUGGUGGGGUAAAGGCCUACCAAGGCGACGAUCCAUAGCUGGUCUGAGAGGAUGAUCAGCCACAUUGGGACUGAGACACGGCCCAAACUCCUACGGGAGCCAGCAGUGGGGAAUAUUGGACAAUGGGCGCAAGCCUGAUCCAGCCAUGCCGCGUGAGUGAUGAAGGUCUUAGGAUUGUAAAGCUCUUUCACCGAUGAAGAUAAUGACGGUAGUCGGAGAAGAAGCCCCGGCUAACUUCGUGCCAGCAGCCGCGGUAAUACGAAGGGGACUAGCGUUGUUCGGAAUUACUGGGCGUAAAGCGCACGUAGGCGGAUAUUUAAGUCAGGGGUGAAAUCCCGCAGCUCAACUGCGGAACUGCCUUUGAUACUGGGUAUCUCGAGUAUGGAAGAGGUGAGUGGAAUUCCGAGUGUAGAGGUGAAAUUCGUAGAUAUUCGGAGGAACACCAGUGGCGAAGGCGGCUCACUGGUCCAUUACUGACGCUGAGGUGCGAAAGCGUG